rnacentral:rRNA from 1 species
UACGUAGGGUGCGAGCGUUGUCCGGAAUUAUUGGGCGUAAAGAGCUUGUAGGCGGUCUGUCGCGUCUGCUGUGAAAAUCCGGGGCUCAACCCCGGACUUGCAGUGGGUACGGGCAGACUAGAGUGUGGUAGGGGAGACUGGAAUUCCUGGUGUAGCGGUGAAAUGCGCAGAUAUCAGGAGGAAUACCUGAGGUGAAGACGGGUUGCUAGGCCGACACUGACGCUGAAGCGCGAAAGCCAGGGGAGCAAACGGG